UACGAACUGUGCGAACGUUAUUCGGAAUCACUGGGCUUACAGGGUGCGUAGGCGGCUCAACAAGUCAGGUGUGAAAAGCCCCCCGGCUCAACCGGGGAACUGCGCUUGAAACUGUUAGGCUCGAGUCAGCUAGAGGUACACGGAACUUCCAGUGGGAGCGUGAAAUGUGUUGAUAUUGGAAGGAACACCGGAGGCGAAGCGGUGUACUGGGCUGGUCUGACGCUGAGGCACGAAAGCCAGGGAGGCGAACGGGAGUAGAAUAUCCCCG
rnacentral:rRNA from 1 species